rnacentral:rRNA from 1 species
UACGUAGGUGGCAAGCGUUGUCCGGAAUUACUGGGCGUAAAGAGCUCGUAGGUGGUUUGUCGCGUUGUUCGUGAAAACUCACAGCUCAACUGUGGGCGUGCGGGCGAUACGGGCAGACUGGAGUACUGCAGGGGAGACUGGAAGUUCUGGUGUAGCGGUGGAAUGCGCAGAGUAUCAGGAGGAACACCGGUGGCGAAGGCGGGUCUCUGGGCAGUAACUGACGCUGAGGAGCGAAAGCGUGGGGAGCAAACAG